ACGUAGGUGGCAAGCGUUGUCCGGAAUUAUUGGGCGUAAAGCGCGCGCAGGCGGGAUAUUAAGUCUGUUUUAAAAGCGCGAGGCUCAACCUCGUGAGGGGACAGAAACUGGUAUUCUUGAGUGUCGGAGAGGAAAGUGGAAUUCCAAGUGUAGCGGUGAAAUGCAUAGAGAUUUGGAGGAACACCAGUGGCGAAGGCGACUUUCUGGACGAUCUCUGACGCUGAGGCGCGAAAGCGAGGGGAGCAAACAG
rnacentral:rRNA from 1 species